CAGACACGGAAGAACUAACCAAGACGCUGCUGUGAUUGUCCAGGCCUGAGCCACUACCAGGAUGGGGUGGAGAGCUGAAUGCAAAAAGGCAGAAAGAACAAGGUAACAGUGGCUGAUCCCCAGUGGAGAGGUCUGCCCAGACACGGCGAUGGCAGGGUUUGUCGGAGGACUGCACCACUGUCCAUCCAUACAAAAUGCAAUAACUGUUUUGAAGGCAAGCCUCACGGUGCCAUGAAUCUAAAGCGAAAAAUGAGAAGCUCUAAGGAGAGAUGGUCUAAUGAAGACAUUUAGCACGAAGAAGAAGCAGGGAGGACUAAAAUUUAUCACCAAGAAAGUCUCGUCAUGCAGGUUUUCCGGCUCGAUUCUGAAAGUUCACUAAGUGGGGAAGGGCUUUAGAUAAGCUUUCGAGAUUCUGAACUUGAAGCUGGUAUGGUUUGCGGUUUCCCUGUCGCUAUGCAAAGCUCUUGCUGGCAACAGCCCAUUAUCAACAAUGCCCUCUUGGAAUUUCUUAUGUGUGGAGAGACAGGUUGACAACCCCGACUGGCUUUUCCAAAGAGAUAGUCUUGCGUUGUUAGGGAUGCCACGAAAGUUCUGAUUGAGUCUCGCAAGGCCCUGGGCCAAUGGGGAUGUCUCGUCUCAGGGGAGGAACUCUUUAUGCAGUCGCUCUGGGGAGGUGCCCACACACUUACCUUUCCUUGCAUUACACAACCGGAUAGCAUGCCAGCUCCAGGCUUGUGGCCGUUUCAUAACCAGCCCUUUCAUGUGUUAUGUGUGAAGUUUGAAAUAAAGCCGUCUUUGACCACCA
rnacentral:lncRNA from 1 species